rnacentral:rRNA from 1 species
CCCUGCCCUUUGUACACACCGCCCGUCGCACCUACCGAUUGAAUGGUCCGGUGAAACCUCCGGAUCGGCGCGCAGCGCCCGCAAGGGUGCCUGCCGCUGAGAAGCUGGUUAAACCUUACCAUUUAGAG